ACGGGUGGCGAAGGCGGCCCCCUGGACGAAGACUGACGCUCAGGUACGANAGCGUGGGGAGCAAACAGGAUUAGAUACCNUGGUAGUCCACGCUGUAAACGAUGUCGAUUUGAAGGUUGUGGCCUUGAGCCGUGGCUUUCGGAGCUAACGCGUUAAAUCGACCGCCUGGGGAGUACGGCCGCAAGGUUAAAACUCAAAUGAAUUGACGGGGGCCCGCACAAGCGGUGGAGCAUGUGGUUUAAUUCGAUGCAACGCGAAGAACCUUACCUACUCUUGACAUCCACAGAAGACUUCAGAGAUGAGGUUGUGCCUUCGGGAACUGUGAGACAGGUGCUGCAUGGCUGUCGUCAGCUCGUGUUGUGAAAUGUUGGGUUAAGUCCCGCAACGAGCGCAACCCUUAUCCUUUGUUGCCAGCACGUAAUGGUGGGAACUCAAAGGAGACUGCCGGUGACAAACCGGAGGAAGGUGGGGAUGACGUCAAGUCAUCAUGGCCCUUACGAGUAGGGCUACACACGUGCUACAAUGGCGCAUACAAAGAGAAGCGAACUCGCGAGAGCCAGCGGACCUCACAAAGUGCGUCGUAGUCCGGAUUGGAGUCUGCAACUCGACUCCAUGAAGUCGGAAUCGCUAGUAAUCGUGGAUCAGAAUGCCACGGUGAAUACGUUCCCGGGCCUUGUACACACCGCCCGUCACACCAUGGGAGUGGGUUGCAAAAGAAGUAGGUAGCUUAACCUUCGGGAGGGCGCUUACCACUUUGUGAUUCAUGACUGGGGUGAAGUCGUAACAAGGUAACC
rnacentral:rRNA from 1 species